rnacentral:rRNA from 1 species
GACAGAGGCCCCGAGCGUUAGGCGGAAUCACUGGGCUUAAAGCGUGUGUAGGCGGAUCGUUAAGUGUCUUGUGAAAUCCCACGGCUCACCCGUGGAACUGCUGGGCAUACUGGCGAUCUUGGGCCAACUAGGGGCAGCCGGAACAAGCGGUGGAGCGGUGAAAUGCGUAGAUAUCGCUUGGAACGCCGAAGGUGAAAACAGGCUGCUGGGGUUGCGCCGACGCUGAGACACGAAAGCCAGGGGAGCAAACGGG